AUGGAAAGGUAAAUAAAGGUGAUCAAUAUGGAAAGGUAACUAAAGGUGAUCAAUAUGAAAAGGUAAAUAAAGGUGAUCAAUAUGAAAAGGUAACUAAAGGUGAUCAAUAUGGAAAGGUAAAUAAAGGUGAUCAAUAUGGAAAGGUAACUAAAGGUGAUCAAUAUGGAAAGGUAAAUAAAGGUGAUCAAUAUGAAAAGGUAACUAAAGGAAGUAUUGACUGGUUUCUAAAUGUGAUUGAGUUUGUA